rnacentral:misc_RNA from 1 species
AACGGUCUAUACCUGCGGUACCUGCGGAGGGAUCAUUAACACAAAUGAUACAACCCCUUUUUGGUUGAAGAGUGACAGAUCUUUUUACGGAUUCAAUCUCUUCAACCAAAUUACCACAAUGGAAAAUGUUAAAGUCCAUUAACAUUUUUUUUUAAUGUUACUGGAUUUUAGUCAUAUCAUUUAACAAAGACACCGUCUAAAAUCAUCACACCUGUUAUGAUUAUGUCGUAAAUGAAUAAU